rnacentral:rRNA from 1 species
UACGGAAGAUCCGAGCGUUAUCCGGAAUUACUGGCGUAAAGAGUUGCGGUAGGUGGCAGGUAAAGCGAACAGUGAAAGAGUCCCGGCCUCAACCGGGGGUACAUUGGUUCAACUCACCAGCUAGAGCACAGUAGAGGUACCUGGAAAUUCCCAGUGUAGGAGUGAAAUCCGUAGAUAUUGGGAGGAACACCGAUGCGUAGGCAGGGUACUGGGCUGUUGCUGACACUAAGGCACGGAAAGCGUGGGGAGCCGAACGGGG